rnacentral:lncRNA from 1 species
GACAAUAGGCUAAAAAGCCCUGACAAGAGAUGUUUCCCAAUUACUUGGCUCUGUUUGUAACUUCGGUGGAAGUCCAGCAACUGUGGGGAUUACCAGGAUACCAAAAUCCUACACAAUUGAUCCAAAGAGUACAGUGAGGGAAAGAUUGAGAAAUAAAUUGUGGAUUUGCUUCGUUCUAUUUUGUUGCUUCAAGCUGUUUGUGAUUUAUCCCAAGAAGAUCAUUCCUAAUCCCACAAACAAAUACGGCACGAUAAUAGCCAUCAACUAUGUUACACCGACUCUCUUAAAAGUAAAAAGUACCAGUGUCCAACACUCGAUACUCGGAUGAGGAUAUGAGAUAUGAGUCCGACAAUUUUAGUUGGACACUCACGUAGGAAGUGUACAUAAUAAUUCAAGUUCACCAAAGAAAUAUGCUAAAACAAAUUAUAUAUGAAAUGCGAUAUAACACAUUGUAAACACUACGUACACUAGAAAACAAAAGAAAUAUACUAAGAAAUAUGAAUAUUUUGCCAUAUCCACGUAUCCUUAAGAUGAGAAUUAGAUAACUCCGACACUUGUACAUGUACCUACACCCGAGUCCAUGUCACAUAGGGCAUCAAUGUGAUAAUAUUG